UACGAAGGGUGCAAGCGUUACUCGGAAUUAUUGGGCGUAAAGCGUGCGUAGGUGGGUAGUUAAGUCUGGCGUGAAAGCCCCGGGCUCAACCUGGGAAUGGCGAUGGAUACUGGCUCGCUAGAGUGCGGUAGAGGAGAGUGGAAUUCCCGGUGUAGCAGUGAAAUGCGUAGAGAUCGGGAGGAACAUCAGUUGCGAAGGCGGCUCUCUGGACCAGCACUGACACUGAGGCACGAAAGCGCGGGGAGCAAACAGG
rnacentral:rRNA from 1 species